GCGCUCACAUCAGAUCAAGCAGAGGCAUACGGUGGUACGACUAUUCACACGAAAUGACGCGGAGUGCAUCAUUUCUAUCUACUUUAACUGUUAUUUUAGCAAUUGUUUUGAUGAUUGAGGGAAAUUGGUAUGGCAAAAGAGAUGAUGGAACAGAAAACGUUUUCCUUAGAUAUUUAGAGCAGUCACAAAUACCACCAAAACAGAAUGCAGACAGAAGGAUGAAAAUGCUUUUAUUAAAGAAAUUGAUUGGAUCAAUAAAGUAUGCAGAAUCCGAAGACGACAUUGAUGCUACGCCAACAUAUUUCUAGGGUUUGAUGAUCGUCAUUAUACAAGACUUUACGAUAAUGUGGAGAAAAGGGAUAUUUACUACUUCUUCAGAUUUCUUACCAAAGAACAACAGAUCAAAGAAAUACAACUAACGUCAAAUACGUCAUUUCCAAUGACUUGAUGUCAGUCAUAUUUUUCAUUGCUCGUUAAAUAUAAAUGUUCCAUUUUUCCUCAGUAUGACUACCUUUAAACAUAAAAGUCAUUAAGAGCUUUGCUUCAUUCAUCUUUUAUUCACCUUUUUAUUGUGUAUAUUAAGUGUGAUGUUUUGUGAACAAUUCUCGUUAUAUUUAGUCUUUUCACAGAUGUUAUCAAUUUUUGUCAAUUGAUUUUGUAAAAAUGUGAAAUAUUUUGUUAUUAAUAAAAAGAAUUA